rnacentral:rRNA from 1 species
UACGAAGGGAACUAGCGUUGUCCGGAAUUACUGGGCGUAAAGAGCGCGUAGGCGGUUUAUUAAGUUGGGAGUGAAAUCCCGGGGCUCAACCCCGGAACUGCUCUCAAAACUGGUAGACUAGAGUGUGAUAGGGGGUGAUGGAAUUCCUAGUGUAGAGGUGAAAUUCUUAGAUAUUAGGAGGAACAUCGGUGGCGAAGGCGAUCGCCUGGAUCACUACUGACGCUGAGGCGCGAAAGCGUGGGGAGCAAACAGG